GCCUUUGUGGUGUAAUUUUAAAGCACGUCCGGCUUGCAAUCGGAAGAUCAGGAGUUCAAACCCCUGUUCGGGCG
rnacentral:tRNA from 1 species